rnacentral:rRNA from 1 species
CCUACGGGUGGCAGCAGUGGGGGAUAUUGCACAAUGGGGGGAACCCUGAUGCAGCGACGCCGCGGGGGGGAAGAAGGGCCGCGGCGCGGAAAGCCCGGUCAGCAGGGAAGAAAAGGACGGUACCUGAAGAAGAAGCCCCGGCUAACGACGUGCCAGCAGCCGCGGUAAUACGCAGGGGGCAAGCGUUAUCCGGAGUUACUGGGUGUAAAGGGGGCGCAGGCGGCGAUGCAAGCCAGUAGUGAAAGCCCGGGGCACAACCCCGGGACUGCUCUUGGAACUGCGUGGCUGGAGUGCAGGAGGGGCAGGCGGAAUUCCUGGUGUAGCGGUGACAUGCGUAGAUAUCAGGCGGAACACCGGUGGCGAAGGCGGCCUGCUGGACUGCAACUGACGUUGAGGCCCGAAAGCGUGGGGAGCAAACAGGAUUAGAUACCCCAGUAGUC